GAAGUUAUAGCUCAGUGGUAGAGUGUGUGCUUAGCAUGCAUAUGGUCCUGGGUUCAAUCCUCAGAAUCUCCG
rnacentral:tRNA from 1 species